UGAAUGGCCCAGUCCAGUCAUUGAAAGUGAGCAGAGGUGUGGCCGUGGGACUCUAAGCUGGCACACACUUUGUCUCCACUGAAGUUCUGGCCUCUGGACGCUAACUGCUACAGCCCCUGCCCAGAGCUGUAACUUUUCAAGGAUGUGUUCCUGGAAUGUUUGCUCGAAAUCAGGUCAGAGGUCUUCCACCAGAGAGAGACCAUGCCACUGAUCUAGCUGGGCAAGGAUUUCAAGAACACUAAGAAGCAAAACAUGAACUUUUGUACAUUCCCCACUGUCACAGGAAGCAGAGUCGACCACAGAUACUGUAUUUUCUAGAACUUUCUUAAGAACCAUUUGCAGAAGUAGUUGAUGUUGUGCAUGGGGACUGGACUGUUUGUGAGACUGAGGAAGCAAAGGACGGCUAAUUUCCUGGGGUGAGUCACGGCUGUAACCCCCUUUUACUGUAUUAAUAGAACGGAGGGGGGAAUUUUCCAGGAAACAUGUAUUACCACAAAGACCAAAAUAGAAAAGGGUGGCGGGUGACUUAAUCACUAAACAGAGAGGACUGGUCCCCUAUCUUUAUCAGAAUAAGAAAACAAUAAAUCAAACCAACACAUUCUGAAAUGUGUUAACAUCUUCACAGUUCUGUUUUAAUACCAUACAAGAUUUUGUAUUAGCAAAAACUCCAUGAAAACUCUAGGCUGAUUACAGAUGAUCAAACUCUCUGAAGAGUUAAAUAGACCUUCUCGAACUACUCCAAGGUUCAUUCCUUGCUUGGAGCCUAAAAUUAACAAUGUAUACCAGCUGUGUGCCAGAAUCCUGGUCUUCAAGAACCAAAUAGCUGACAAGGAAGUCGCAGCUCUAAUGAAGCCUGAUCUCCACUGCCUGCCGCAGCAGUUCUUUUCAUCUUGCUUCUGGGGGAUUCCAAAAUGACAGCCCAAACACUAGCUCUGAUGGCAGCCUCAGGACCCUAACUAUGGUGAGUCCGAGAAACAUCAACACCUAGAAGCCUCCGCUCUGGCUCCUGCCUUUCCUUGUCUCCUAUCUGGAAGGAAGCACUGUGGCCAUGAUAAAGACCAGCCUGGGGAUGAAGAAUUGAUGCAGCCAUUAAGUGUUCUUACUCCUCUGUGUUGGAGAACAAGUUUGGUGCCCAUCAUCCACAGUGGAAGGCUCACAACUGUCUGUAGCCCCAACUCCAGAAAAAUCUUGACUUUUUCUGGACUCUGAGGUUACAAGCACUCACAGGUGCACACAUUAAAAAGGUAAGCCUUUAAGAAAACUGUAGGCAUGUAUUUUUUUUGAUGAGCAAAGAAAUAUUUAAAAAAAAUAAGGUGUGGGUUUAUUUCAGUAAAUUUGCUUUAUUGAUCUUAUAAAAACUCGUGGAAAAUUUUCAAAUUUAUUGACCGUUCUCAAAGAAAAAGGAUCCAAGAUAGGCUUAGGCAACUGAAACGUUCAAGGAAACAGCAGGUUUUCCUAGUUGCAGAGGCUUUUCUUUCUAACAGCUACAUGAGUGUGUAUCACUUACCCUGCCCGCCAGAAGCAGGCGCUUUGAACGGAGGUUCCAGUCUGCUCAGAGACCUAUCAUGCAGGAAACCUGGAGAGGCAGCCCUGGGCCAGCCCCUCAUUCAAUAGUAACGUGGAGUAGGACUUAGGAAGUCUAUUCACAGCAGCAGCAGCAGAAUCCCAUUUUCUAACUGAUAUCAAGUGACCAGCAUUGUAAAAGUUGAAACAAAGUAUGGCCUCGAAUUUUCAGGAGUAUACAUAGUCUACUCAGGCUCCGGAGCCUGGCCGUCUGGUCAUCCACUCUGCACUUUCACAGCCUGUGACACUACGUGAAAACAGCUGUGCACACUCGGCUUAAUCUCCAUAAAAUGUGAAUAACCCCUAGCACUUAGAUACCCAGGAGUCCUAAAGAUCAAAUAAAGUAAUGGCUCUUCACGUGUGUUCUAAGACGCCACGCAAUCCUGAGAGGGUUUACUGGCCUCUGUCACUGUUAAUAUUAUGUUUGAGACAGAUAAAGAAUCAAAGCUCUGUGGGAAUGUUCUAGAGGCUGUUUCUGUCAAUGAACCAGAUCAGAGAACAAUCUGUAAGGAAACAAUGUAUCUUUCUGUCCAUUACCCUAGGGUGCUGUAAAGAACUAGACAGUAGUGUUAGGUGUAUGAGCGCUGGAGCAUCCUCGGCAAAAGCAGAAAUCUAAACACGACGUGUUUCAGCUAAUUCUCUCUUAUUAACAAAGCUCAGUCUGGCUGGGAAGGUGACAUCAUUGGAGAGUACCUCCAGCACUCUCUCUAACAAAGGGUAUUUAUGUGGCCAAUAGACUACUAAGAGGUCCAACCACGUUAAAUUCCUGCCUUUAGGAAAAAAGAGAGUCAGCAACAAGAUUCAAGUAUCACUUGUUAGAAAAAGAAAACAGGUAUUAUUUUGUAUGUCCUUGUUUGAUUUCUCCCAACCCCGAGGGCAUGCACUCCUUAUUUUAUAUAAGAAUGUUUUUCAGGCAUAAGCCAAAGUGCAGAUGCUUCAUCCCUUCUUAGAAGGAAGAACAAAAUAUUCAUGGGAGAAAAUACAGGGACGAAGAGUGGAGGAGGAACUGAAGAAAAGGUCAUCCAGAGACUGCCCUAGCUAGGGAUCCAUUCCAUAUCAGCCACCAAACCCAGUCCCUAUUGCUGAUGCCAAGAAGUGCUUGCUGACAGGAGAGUGAUAUGGAUGUCUCCUGAGAGGCUCUGCCAGCGCCUUACUGAUACAGAUGAGGAUGCUUGCAGCCAACCAUUGGACUGAGCACAGGGACCCCAAUGGAGAGGUUAGAGAAAAGACUGAAGGAGCCGAAGGGGUUUGCAACACCAUAGGAAGAACAACAAAAUCAACCAAUCAAACCCCCUCAGAGCUACCAGGUACUAAACCACCAACCAAUGAGUACACAUGGAGGGACCCAUGGCUCCAGCCACAUGUGUAGCAAAGGAUGGCAUUGCUCAGCAUUACUAGGAAAAGCUCUUAGUCCCGUGAAUGCUCCUUUCCCCAUGUAGGGGAAUGCCAGGGCGUUGAGGUGGGAGUGGGUGGGUAGAGGGAGGAUAUCCUCAUAGAAGCAGGGGGAGGAAGGAGGGGUAUGGGAGAAGGGAAAAGGAAAUAACAUUUGAAAUUUAAGGACAUAAAAUAUCCAAGAAAAAAAUUUAAAAAAAAAAGAAUGUUUUCCAAGAGUCAAUCAUAGCACCCACUGCCAAUGAGCUUCCACCUUGCCGGUGGGCAGUUGGCAAUGGGGACGUUAGCUGGGAAGGAAAUACAUUGAGUGAUACAGGAAAACGUCAAACCUCAUGAGUGUAAGGUCACUAAAGUAAACUCAAGGGAGCAAAAAAAAAAAAAUUCCUUUUCAACUACUUAAAACAUGUUCUUUACCUGCAGGGCUAGGUCAGCAAGACUCUCUGUAUGCACUAACAAAUAUGGUCUCCAAAUAUUCUCAUGUGCAGGGGGCUGACGCAGAGGCUUUCUCUUUCUAUGCUUAUGUGAACCUUAGACUGUGAGUCAAAUCCUCCACACAUAGUUUUUAACAAGCAGCAUCUUUUCCCGAAGAUUACAGACAUACACACACACACCUGUACAUGAACAUGUAUGCACAUGCACACGCAUUCAGAAAAAGCUACACAUAUAAUUAUAUAGAACUGACGUGUAUGUAUACAUAAGAUAGAGAGAAAGAGAUGAUAGAUAAAUAGAUAGAUAGAUAGAUAGAUAGAUAGAUAGAUAGAUAGAGUACAUAUAUAUAUAUAUAUAUAUAUAUAUAUAUAAAAUAUUCCAUCAAACUGGUUGUAAACAUUAGUUCAUAACACUCUUAUAAGAGAGUCUAAAGUCAAUCAAAUUUUUUAAAAUUAAUCAUAAAAGUACACAACCCUGAAUGGUUUCCAGGUUCCUACCACGUCCAAAUUCCAGUAUGUUACAAACAGAAGGGACUUACAAUCUUAGCGAGCCCAGUGAUUCCUAGCUACCUCGUGACUCACAUCCAAACACUGAUAGCCUAGCGGAAGUGCCUGGGGAUUACUUCCAUAAACUGAAGCCAGCUAAGAUCUUAAGAUGCACCUACUUAAAAGGAAACUAAAUUAAAAUAACUCUGACUCUAAACACCACAGUUUUGUCCAAACUGUUCCCAUGAAUGAACUUGCUUUGUGACACUUUGAUCAAAUCAAAACAUAGGCUGAAUACUGAGUUUACACGAUGGCUUCACCAGUGGUGAAAAGGUUCCCAAGAAUGGUCAUAGUAUCAACUUAGUGGGCUUCUGUAGCAAUUUAAAGUAAAAGACAACAGACAGUACAGUUUAGAACGCAUACCUUAAAAGCAUGUGUGAAGAAAAUCUCAUUUCAAAUUACAUACAUGUGUGCAUGUACUAUCGCUAUCAGUGUAAAAUGUACUUGACGUGUGUAAGAAAAGGGGGAGGGGUUAAAAGUGACUCUCAUAGAAAAAAAAGUGUACGAGGAUCAAAAGCCGCACAGCUGACACCUAUAUAUUUACGGAGCCAAUUAGUAUGCGGAAAGGUAAGGGCAAGUGUGGGAAAGGAAUCAUACCCUAGACUUCAUAUUCCUCCCUCUGAAGAGCAAUUCAGAUUGCCAUGGGAAAACUGGGCACGUCCACCUCUACUGCACACCUUUGCUAUACGCACUGGCACAUGUUUUGGUAAGUGUGGACACACAUGCAUCUCUACACACACAGCAGCACACAAACAGGCCCAUGCACACAUACCACUCAAAUGCAGGCACAUGCAUGCAUGAGCACCUGCAUGGACACGGAGACACACACACACACACACACACACACACACACACACACACGCACGCACUUGUACAGUUACUCUUAUCUCGUGCCUCAACCUCCCAGGUCCUGUAGUGGGAGACAAUGUUUCUUCCGCCUGGCUCACCCUUUCUUUCUUCCUAUAUCUUGUAGGGUGGGAAGGCAGGGAUCAGAAGGAAAGAGAGAGAGAGAACAUUUCAAUUUCUCACAGAUUUCUUGUUACUAACGCACCCGCCCCCAACCCGCCAGCUCUGUCUGCUGCGUUGAAGACUGAACUUGAGCAUUUUCAGACUUUCAGAAUAGUUUUCUUUCUACUUCCCUGGCUGAAUGGCUCGGUUUGAGUAAUUUUCUUUCUCCUGGGGUUGGUUGCUAAGAGACACUCUAUUACUUCUCUUUCUCUUAUGACCCGAUUACUGUGAUCAGCAAAGACAGUGUGCAGGCAACAUCCUGACAUGGCUCGUACAAGAUCGCUGGGCCUCUCAGAAAAUGAUGGACUUUCUUAACCCUCUCACUGCUGCAGAUCGAGAUCUGAUGAUCUCUUUUCCUCACCAAAUCAAAGGAUUUCUCCUCCUUUAAGUCAGGGGCUAUGGUGGGUCCCCAGUACCCAUCCCUGCAGCAACUGAUACAGCGCAAUGUACUUCUUUAAGAGUUCAGAGUUAACUAUGAGAACAACAGCUUCUUUCAUCACCAGUAGGAAAGAUCUGGAUUCCUCUCUCCAUCUUGGAUAAGGACUCCUUCCUGAGCAGGCCUGAAUUUCUCAUUUCUUUUCUACUAAAAACAGCCAGGCAAAAAUUAUACCUCUCCAUUUCCAAUCAUACCCAGCUCAGGGCAGAAAACAUGCAAAGCCCCAUGUGUUUGUUCAAUGUGUGUACGACUAAGCUCCACCCUUCGCUUGAGGAGGCUCUGCAGUUUGCCCACUCACCUACCUCAGCGUCAUAGCUUCAGGAAGGGUGAGGAGUUCCUUACAAAAGGAGACAUCAGAACAAACCGAGAAUUCAAGCCGCAAAAGAGUAAACGUAUAAAAUGGGAGUAAGGAUUUCAAUGGGGGUUGAAAUCACUAUCCAGGACUGAUAUUUCCUUCAUACAGCUGGCUAGGAAGAUGCAGCCACUUUAUUUGAUUAUCCUAUCAAUUUCUCCAUGGAAAAGUCAACCUGGAAUUAUUAAUUGGUCUCACAAGAUGGGGCUCUGGAGGUAGAAUCACCAAGCUUCUUGACCUGAAUGCAAUCAACAAAGCCCAAGUGUCAAAAAGAGAACUAAAAUCCAUGAGUUGUAAAGACAUACAGAAACACAUACGGUGUGAGGGCACAAGUGCACAAGUGCCCAUGCACACGUGCAUACACACUCGCGUGUGCAAGCGCGCACACACACACACACACACACACACACAGAGUUACAUUUCUAAACAAUGAACAUUUGAACAUUUUCAACAAACUUUUCUACAUUCAAAGCAAGUUCACAUGAGAUAAUCUGUAACAUUUGUAACACCAGGCCUACAGUUUCCUUCACCAUCAAUGUGAGCUUUUAUUACUCAAAUUUCACUUCUCAUUAAGGUUUUAAAUUUUAUCAAAAUUGGGAAUUGUUCUGACUGGGUUCUACUUUGACACAAUUUCAUAAACAAAUUUGGACCUCACCCAUUUUGAUACCUAACUACCUACAGGCAUACAGUUAUCCAAAGUUCAGUGUGUGCACAUUCAACAAAAACAUUUGACAGACUUUACAAGUCAGAACACUAGACUAUGGAAUUUACAUUUAGACACAGCUAUACUCAAAUCAAAGUCUCAGGAUUUUUAUAAGCCGCAAGACCUUGAAUAGCUUGUUUAUUAUCUGCCUGAGUUUCAAUUUAAUUUGUUUCAAAACAAGAAACGUUAGUGCCAAGUUGUAAUAAUGCUAUAAAAAUGAUAUAACAAGCAACUAGAACAUACUUAAUGAGAGCUCACUAGUAAACACUUAAGAAUGAGAACAUACACUGCUCGCAGAUUUUGGAGAGAGCACGAAAAGCAGUAGACCACAGGCCUGCUAACAGGGGACACAGAGUACACAUCCAAAGGUCAGUUUUACAACAUAACUAAAUUCCUGUUCUGUGAGAACAAUUUCUUUCCUUGUCUUUCAGGAGUAAAGCAUUGUUAAACAAUUUUAGGAGAUGAAUCGCACCUUCCUAAAGUUUCAAGUGGGGUGGGAGUGAAGUUGAGUUGUUCUGUCACACUGUGUUUACAACUGAGGAAGCUAGGGCAUUGUUGAGUGACCAGGUUGACUCUGGAUAUGUUCUGUCCAUUUUCACACAUUUCCACAACCUACCUGAUGUCCUGUUCAGCCUAUCUGACUGCAUGCCACCUCCCUGUCAGCAUGGCUAAGACAAGACAUUAGCAUUAGGCCUGGUAGUCUCCCCGCUCAAGCACCUUUAUAUUGAGCAUGCAUGAAGAAAAUCUAUGAGUACUGUUCAGAACCAAGUCAAACUUUAAAAGGCUCCUGGAGGUCAGGAGAAAUCAUUGCUCUUCAAAAACUGGGAUAAGAGGUGGCAGUAAGAGUGGGCUGAUGGCACUGAUCCACAUGGUACCCACCAUUCCCCAAGCUUCCAUCUCCAUUGUGGCUCAAGUUUUAUUCUCCUUCCCCUUCCAACACCAUUUCCACAUAAUGGCAUGACAACAUGUGCCAAGUUAGUUGGACAGAAAAAGGAAGAUUCUCUACAGUCCGCAGACAUAGUCUUAGGCAAGAUUUGAACCCAGUCUCAGCUUCAUUGUUUGGAAGGAUGUGAUGUCAUAAUGGCAAAUGCCAAUUUCACUAUAAAACUAAUAACAUUUAUAUAUGGAUUAGUUCAACACAGAAAAACUUGAUCGGGGGAAAAACUUUAAACUUACCAUUAGCAAUAUGUCUCCAAAAUGUCCUCUAUUUAGUGGAAUUAUCUCUGCAGCUUUAUAAAACAAUAAAAUCAUUCAGAUGCUAAGAGACCUGGGGUGUGUGUGUGUGUGUGUGUGUGUGUGUGUGUGUGUGUGUGUGUGGUUUCAAAUUAAUGAAUGGACAGAAAGGAAAAUUCUGGAACACAUAAAAAUCUGUAUCUAAAAUUUAGAUCCACAAAAUGCUAGGAGAAAUGAUCAAAGUUGUCAAGCACACUGUAACUUCUUAACUUUAUCAAACUCGUGCUUAAUCACCAGGCUUUGAGUUAUGUCUCUGUUUUCACAGGUUGCUUCAGAGAUUUUCCAACAUUUUUAUCCUCAUCAUGCCUCUGCUCCAGAUGUUUACAGAGGGAAAAUACUCUAAACACACCCAAGACCAAAUCACUAAAGUGUCAGAGGGCAACAGCUACUAUCGCUUCUGUGCUGUGAUCGCACAGGUUUCCAAAAAAUGAGAUUACUUUUCCAGCCAGCCUGUGGACUUGAUCCACUAUACGUAAGUCCUGGUGCUGUGUAACUCUAAUACGAAAAUUACAAGUGGUUGACACAAACUACAAGACAUUAUCCUAUUUUCAUAAAAAGAAAAAAAGAAGAUUCAAAGUACUAAGAGAGAGCUGAACUCACAAACAAGAUAACCUUGAUCAAGUGUUUAAAUAAGCCAAAACUUACCACACAGGCAAUUUUGAAACCUUUCUUGAACCUUACUUUUACUUACUGUAACUUGUUAUAAAUGCAAGUCCUCCCUCCUUUUUUUCACUAUACUUACUUGGGUUCUGAUUUAGGUUCCAAAUUAUUUAUUCAGCCAUAAGCUCCCCCUUUCCUAAUCAUUUCAAAAUAAAGAAUGUGUUUAACUUCGUUAUUUCCUUCCUGACUUCAAAGACUAUAUUAUUUUUGAAGCAUGCUCAAUGGGAUUUUCAAAUAUAUCAUGGAGAAUAAUCAACGACAAUGACACCAUGUAGGGCAGUCUCAUAAGUGAGAGCACCGUACACAGAAAAUGACCACCUGCUUCUUGUCACUUAACUGUUUGUAAACAGGAAUUCCUUGAGAGCUUGCAAAUUCUGCCUACGUUGAGUAACACUGCGUGCAGUUCUGGAACAUCAUACACGAUUUCCAGGACAGAGUAGAGCAAAUCAUUACAUCUUCAGAGGCACGGUAAUGCCUACCAAUGGAACUACCCAAAGGAAAGCAAAAAGAUAUAACAAGUUUGAGAGGCAUAAAGGGGUAAUGAGAAGAGCUUAGGCUGUGUGCUUUUGCAAUCUAUAGUGGCAGAACAAGGACCAAACAUAGACUUAGGUAGCGGCAGCUUCAAGUAGGUAUGGGAAAAUACCUUUAGUUUGCUAUCAAUAGUGGAUGACGCUCUGAAGGAAAUAUGCCCUGCCAUCAGAGCAAGGCACACCAAGGCUGCCACGAGCACGUCCCCAAGUGGGAAGCAUAUAACUAUUCUUAGGUCUAGAAACUUGAAGGAGUGUUCUAUGGGUUUUGCUUUUGCUAGGAAAUAGAGAUUAAAUAUCUGUUAUUAAAACUGUACAUAAACAUUUUAGUGUUUUGUCUCUCUUUUGUCAAGUAUCAGUACAUUGAAGAAUAACUGUAUACAUUUAAACAAAACCACCUUAAUAACCUCCAAUCAAUAUUUAUUCCUACGUAAUAGCUGAAUACUGCUUCUACACCUUGCCUUUGUCAUAGCUAAGGUCACUCCUGCUACGCUGGUACAACAUGAUCAAGAGAAACAAAGGGAGGAAGGGCUUUAUGUGCCUCACACUUCCAUCACUGUUCAUCAGAGCAGAAAGUUGGGCCUAGAACUCAACAGGACAGAAACCCUGAAGCAGGAGCUAAGGGGAGGGCAUGGAGGAAUGCUGCCUAUUGGUUUGCGUGGCCUGCUUUCAUAUAGAACCGAGGACCACAAGCCCAAGGAUAGCAUCACUCACAAUCAAUCAUUAUAUAAGAAAAUGGCCUUCUACAGCUAGAACAAACGGAGGCAUUUUCUCAGUCGAGGUUCCUCCUCUCAGAGGACACGCGCACAUAUCAAGCUGACGUGAAACCAGCCAGCCCAGCCAUGCGCUAUGCUCAGGAUACUCAGUGGUAGGCACUGGGUGUCAGCUUCCUUGGCCACAGCCACGUAGAAGAACUAAUACUAAAGUUGUGUCAUUUCAAACUAUCUGCAUUCUGUGGUGUCCUGUUGCUCUGUUAUUCCUUUUCUCCAGAUCUACAACUGGAGAGUAGAGAGAGGUCACAAGCAACAAUAUCUGAGAAACAACUGCUGAGAUCUGAAGUCUCAGGUUUUGGUUUUCACUGUUUUUUCCAGGGGCAGGUACUUAUAGCUUUAAGUAAUAACCAAAAGCGUGGCAGAAAUUGCAAACCUUCUAGACCAGCCUGCCUAUAUGUAGCUUUGUAUAAAGAAACUACUUAAUCCUUUCCUUGAUGCCCAUCCCAAAGUAUAAUAUAUUAUCAUAUUAGAAAUGACAGAAAGUAGCAAGUCUUGAUAACAGCUUUGAUUUUGCUGUUGAUAUCUGGCUAUGGUGUAAGGAUACAAUACUCCAGGACCUUGCACAUACAUGAUGGUCAAAUAUUCUCCACCUGAGUGGUAGGAGCUCAGCCACAAAUACAUGUUCCAGCUCUCAUACGAAUUCUGCCUACACAGGCAGAGUAGACAUGGACACCCUGCAACACAACACUCUAUAUUAUUAAGAGUUUAUAUCAAGCCACCACAAGCUUGGGCAAUCCUCUCCCAUUGACAAUAGACAAGGAGGCUCAGUUAGAAGAAUGGGAUCCACACUCAGGUAGGCAAUAGAUUCAGGGACAGUUGUUGGUGACCCUAUGUGAAGACCAAGUGGUACAUCUGCUAGAUAUGUGCAGGUGACCUAGAUCCACCCAGUGUGCAAGCUGUUUGGUUGGUGGUUCAAUCCACCCAGCAUAGGUCCAAGUUCAUUGACUCACAUGAUGGGAUACUGGAAAGAGACAAGGGGAUAUUAGGAUGUAAAGUAAAUAAAUAAUUUUUUUAAACAAGAGUUUAUAGACUAUAGUCUGUCAGUAAAAGUGAAAUAUGGAAUCGAUCAUUGUGUAGUGUUUUCUGCGUUAAUGGGGUUAUCAAGGAAAAAUGUCACAGUGGCAAUACUGGUGAUAAUCAAGUAUUUCAAGUUGAAGAUGAAUACCCAGAGCCAGGCAAUGACCAUCCGAAUGGGCAAGGGUGGAGAGAGGCAGGGACAUCUGUUUCGAUGUUACAGACAACAUCCUUUUAUCUGACAUUACACGGAAUAACCGUGUUGAAUAACUGUACACUUUAGGUUGUUGAAAGUUUCUAUCCCUUCCUUUAUUUUUUAGCUAGAAACGGCCCAUUCACUCUUCCCAAACUGGACUUAUGUUGGAUGCGGUGUUAGCAAAUUUCACUUGAACAUUGGGAAUGGAUGGCCUAGUAAAGUCAGAGAGUUCUGGCUUCAAUCCUUCAGUGCAGGGGUACCGAGGAAAAGGAACAAACCUCAGGGGUAUAAGACUCUCAAAGGCCUCACUAAAGGUCUAUGACUUGAGGCAGUACAGUACUGAGACAAGAGAACGGCCUAUUUUUAGUAUGUGAGACUGUUUGUGAGAACCACCAUGCCACUGAGCCUUGAUUUCUGUUCCUACUACACCUCGUUCAGCGAUAACUAAAAGACUUUCCCAUGAUCCUCUAUGACAAAUGGGAGCAGCUCAGGACGUGAAAGGUGAAGUAAACCUCUAACCUUCAGAGACCCAGAGAACGAGAAAGAUGCAUGCGAACAGGAAGGAAAAGGCACUGCCAGGGCCAUGGUGAACACUCGGGUCAGCCCUGAGAAACAGAAAGAUGAGGAAGUCCCCAUUCUCGGCCUCUAUUGCAAACCGCCAGCCUCUCUCACUUCCCUUGCCCACAGAGACAACUUUUGCCAGUCAAGGAAGAAGUAGUUUCAUAAACAAUGAUCAGAAGAAGAGAUGAGGGUGGGGUAGGAGGGCAAAAUGAACAUGGCAACUGACGUUUCACUGAAAGGGCAAUGCCCAGCGCUCAAAGGACACGGGUUUGUCCCUUCGAUGUCCCUAGACUGCUUUAUAAAACAGUAAAGACAGAAACUGUGAGCUAGGCAGAUUUACUAGACUCUUUGACCCAGGACACAAAAGGUUUAAGACGAUCCAGAGAAGUGAACUUGACCUGACCAGUAAACAUUUCAAAUAUGACAGCUGCCUGGAGAGCCACAUAAGAAAGAUGUGCUGAGGAGUAAGGCUGGCUUCCUAUACUUAUUAACUGCCAUGCUGCCGCGGGAACCACUGUGUAACACAGUAGCAUAUGGGGAACAUUAAGCAGUGUGUUUUCCAAAGCCUCUCUGUCCAAGUGGGUGAGGCAAUGGCCUCCUUGAAUCAAAACCUAUUGCUCCUUAAGGCUUGCAUUGCUGCCUUGAUUAAACCCAGCAGCGGGCUCCAGUUGAGGGGACAAUUCUUCUCUUCUGAGGGGAGGUAGAACAGAGUAAUUGCCAGAUGUUUGCAAUUUUAGCUAUAAAAAGAUGGCUGCUUUCCAUUCCUGAGUAUGUUGGAUCUUUUUUUUUUUUCUCUUUCUACCCAAGCUAUUGUGGUUCACUUAAAUAGGCCACUGUGCUGAUGAAUCAUCACUCAAAACUACAAUAAUGGAAGCAGAAAAAUAUGGCAUUUUAAAUUCCCAUGUAAGAGGAAUAAAUUAAAAUGUACAGGUACUGGUUAUGUGCUAAGCAACAGGAAAGCAUGCUAUUGCUUAAGAUGCUCGUUUGAGUCAGAAGAGCUGUGCGUGGGUCUCCCCUUGACUUCUUCUGACCAUCAGUGGGUAGGCACCAAUGCCUUACCAGCAAACCUCGGGCUGUCUACCUGCAAAGUGGAGGUAAGAAUCCCUUCCUGGCCUAAUUCUCAGCAGGAAGUCUCUGUGGAGAUCCAUUCCUAUCCUAUCUUAUAAGCCAGACAGAGUCCACGGGAGAUGUGCAAUUCUUUCUUAAGUAAAAAAAGCAAGAAAAAUAUGGAUGUGUUUCAAAGCCAUAUAUUAUAAGUAUACAUACAUGUAUUCCGGGUGGUUUCUAAUUAUGAAACUCCAUGACUAGCACCAAAUACCAAGUCCUCUUGUCAUAUACUGUGCAUGAAAUAUGGGAGAUGAGGAGAAGGAAAUGGAAACCUGGUUAUUAUUUAAGCAACACUAACAUAACUCAUUUGGAAGUAGUGACUACUUGGGAAGGGCAUGCCAUCUAAGUACUUGAGGAUCUGGGGACACGUGUGGACCAAGUGGAGAUUAGAGACUGAAUCUCCUAGGAAUUGAGAACAUAUCACAGCAGACACAUAUCCCUGCCAUAACUCAUAGAGAAACAAAACCCAAACCAAUUUGAAAGUCCCAGGUAUGCAGCACAGGCAAAAGAGUACUCCAGAAGAUUCGCCUUAAAACUGCCAGGAGGAGGCCUAUUGUGCCAGCUGUGAUUGUAAACAUACAGAAGAGUGUAAUGGACUAAGAGCCCCAGAGGAACACUCAUGUUUUAAUUUUAAUAAAGGCGAAGACGCUCAUAGCACCUUUCACUGACUGCCAUUCCAUACC